AACCGCGAGGGCAGCUGAGAACAAGGCCACUGGAGAACGCCGGAGAGCCCAGAUAGAGUGAAGACUUGCCGGGGGCUGGGAGGCCUCCUAGCCCCCAGCACCCCUGCUGCUGUGUACCUGGUAAAUCCCAAUAAAAGCCCGAAAAGCCACCAAGGACUCCAGGACUCUCCUCCUUCACCCAUCUGCUGGAAUCAGAAAACCUGCACGGUCCCUUCCUGCCUUUACAAAGUAUUUUGUGAACUCUACAGAUGAGAAAACAAACAAGGAGAAGUUAACAGCUUGCCAGAGGUCAUUGAGUUAGUUGAUAAUCCAACAUCUGCAACCCAGCUUCCUGCAUCAGUUGUUGGCCAGGUUUGGGACCACCCAUCGUUGCCCCCCAGCCCCCUCUGCCUGCUAAGGAUGCAAGCCUGGAAAUCACAGAUUCAGGAGUCCCCAGGUAACGGACACGCACGUGAAAGUUUCAGAAGCACUUGCUGGGCGCUGAUUCGCAGGCCUGCCCGCUCGCUGCAGUCACCUGCGGAGUUAGCUGCACUGCACACUGGCGCCUGCCCUGGUGAUACCCGUCGCUUCUGUUCCUGGUGUAGCCUGGAUCACCCGGCUGAUUGUAAACGCAGCUAUGGUUGAAAACUAGUUGGUUUAGCAGCUUUUUUUGUUGCACACAGACAGCAAAGUUCAAGAAAUGGACGGCAAGCCUUGAUGGGGACGGGGAGGGAAGGGCUGUGCAAGGGCAGCACACUCAGUCACCCACAGUGGUGGUGCCUGGGCGCUCUCCUUGGGGUCCUCCGGGCCUUGCUUUCUUCCUGCCUUGAGCUCUCUGAAGGGAGAGCUGUGUCUCCCCCGUAAGACUGGGGCAUCAUUCAGGGUAAGGACUCAAUCCGAACCACACAAGGAUCUUCCCAUUUUCCCCAUUCCCCCCAAAACCAACCAGUUCUCAGCAAGGAACCAGCAAGGGAGGUGUGACCCGUGUUUGUGAGCAAGGACACACACACUGUGCAGCCCGCCCGCCCCUGGGAAAUCCAGAGCCCCAUCCAAGCUUGGUGGGCUCAGCAGAGCCUCUGGACAAAAGUUGUAGGGAAGAGGGCUCACAGAAAAUAGGUCAGGGAAAUCACAGCCAGGGGCCGCCUUCACUGGAAAGGGGAGUAUUAACCCACACAGGAAUCACCCAGCAGGCACGCCCCCGUGUCCUUAGGUCUUGAAGAGAAACACCAGUUCUCUGUUGAAGAAAGGGGCCUUGAGUCUGAGGCUAGGACUCCUGCCUUCCCUCAAGCCCCACCCCACAAAAUUGUCCUCAAAGUUAUCCUUCCCCAUCCCUUGCCCCCAGCAAGCUACCCUGAAAUCAGACACUCAGCCCUUGGGCUAUUCCAGUGAAAAUACUGACUAAAUAAAAUUUGUUUAAAGGCAGA